UUGAACGCUGGCGGCAUGCCUUACACAUGCAAGUCGAACGGCAGCGCGGACUUCGGUCUGGCGGCGAGUGGCGAACGGGUGAGUAACAUAUCGGAACGUGCCAGGACGUGGGGGAUAACUAGUCGAAAGAUUAGCUAAUACCGCCUACGCCCCGAGGGGGAACGUGGGGGAUCGCAAGACCUCACGCUUGCUGAGCGGCCGAUAUCUUAUUAGCUAGUUGGUUGGGUAAAAGCCUACCAAGGCGACGAUCAGUAGCUGGUCUGAGAGGACGAACAGCCACACUGGGACGGAGACACGGCCCAGACUCCUACGGGAGGCAGCAGUGGGGAAUUUUGGACAAUGGGGGCAACCCUGAUCCAGCAAUGCCGCGGGAGUGAAGAAGGCCUUCGGGUUGGAAAG
rnacentral:rRNA from 1 species